AGAGUUUGAUCAUGGCUCAGAAUCAACGCUGGCGGCGUGCCUAACACAUUGCAAGUCGAACGCGAAAGUCCCGCAAGGGAUCAGUAGAGUGGCAAACGGGUGAGUAACACGUGGGUGACCUGCCUUCGAGUGGGGGAUAACGUCCCGAAAGGGACGCUAAUACCGCAUGACAUCCUGCCUUUGAAGAGGUGGAGCUUAAAGCUGGGGAUCGCAAGACCUAGCGCUUGAAGAGGGGCCCGCGCCUGAUUAGCUAGUUGGUGAGGUAACGGCUCACCAAGGCAACGAUCAGUAUCCGGCCUGAGAGGGCGGACGGACACACUGGGACUGAGACACGGCCCAGACUCCUACGGGAGGCAGCAGUGGGGAAUUGUUCGCAAUGGGCGCAAGCCUGACGACGCAACGCCGCGUGGAGGAUGAAGAUCUUCGGGUCGUAAACUCCUUUCGAUCGAGACGAACGGCCCCUGGGCUAAUCACCAGGGGAGUGACGGUACCGAGAGAAGAAGCCCCGGCUAACUCCGUGCCAGCAGCCGCGGUAAUACGGGGGGGGCAAGCGUUGUUCGGAAUUACUGGGCGUAAAGGGCUCGUAGGUGGCCAACUAAGUCAUACGUGAAAUCCCUCGGCUUAACCGGGGAACUGCGUCUGAUAUUGGAUGGCUUGAGGUUGGGAGAGGGAUGCGGAAUUCCAGGUGUAGCGGUGAAAUGCGUAGAUAUCUGGAGGAACACCGGUGGCGAAGGCGGCAUCCUGGACCAAUUCUGACACUGAGGAGCGAAAGCCAGGGGAGCAAACGGGAUUAGAUACCCCCGUAGUCC
rnacentral:rRNA from 1 species